rnacentral:rRNA from 1 species
GAUGAACGCUGGCGGCGUGCCUAAUACAUGCAAGUCGAGCGAACAGACGAGUAGCUUGCUCCUCUUACGUUAGCGGCGGACGGGUGAGUAACACGUUGAUCACCUACCUAUAAUACUGGGAUAACUUCGGGAAACCGGAGCUAAUACCGGAUAAUAUCUUGAACCGCAUGGUUCAAUAGUGAAAGACGGUUUUGCUGUCACUUAUAGAUGGAUCCGCGCCGCAUUAGCUAGUUGGUAAGGUAACGGCUUACCAAGGCGACGAUGCGUAGCCGACCUGAGAGGGUGAUAGGCCACACGGGAACUGAGACACGGUCCAGACUCCUACGGGAGGCAGCAGUAGGGAAUCUUACGCAAUGGGCGAAAGCCUGACGGAGCAACGCCGCGUGAGUGAUGAAGGUCUUCGGAUCGUAAAACUCUGUUAUUAGGGAAGAACAAAUGUGUAAGUAACUAUGCACGUCUUGACGGUACCUAAUCAGAAAGCCACGGCUAACUACGUG